rnacentral:lncRNA from 10 species
GGGAAAGUGACUUCAUCUCUCUGUGCAUAAGGGAAACUGAGGUACAGAGGAGGGGAAGAGCCAUGAUUGACUUCAUGCAACUCAUCAGGGAGGGCACCCAGAUUUACACGUGGAUCUGUGUCACUACAAAGCAGUGCCCUUGACUUAACACUCCAUCACUUUCCAUACAAGCUUCAAACUGAACUCCACCUUCAUUAGCUUGGUGAGCGCAGACCGCUGAACUCUUCUAACAUCUGUCUUAGAGGUUAUGUGUUGGCUGCUGCGUUCAGAGCUAUCCUAAAAGUAACUGAAACAAGGGAUUUUUGACUCCAUGGCUAAACAGUUUCUGGGGAGCAGACCUUGAUUCUACCAUUACUUAGAAAACAAAUCAAAUUAGAGUCAGACUAGUGAUGUUGUCAGAACUUUUCAAACAUAAAGACCCAUGAAUGGACAUGUACACUUGGGAUCAAAAGCACUCUCCUCUUCCAAACAGCAGUCUACACUUGGCCUUUUGAGAGGCUGAGCUAUUGCCAAGGACUAUUUAGAUGGAAGAUUUGAUUGUUGGUCAAGGAGACACUGAAGAAGAGAUAAGAUGGUGUACUGGAAUGGAAGGAAGGCUCUGGACAUCAGAACUUUGGGCCACUGUACUGCUGUGUAAAUUUGCGAAACCUACUUAAUCCUUAUGGACUGUUUCCUCAUCUGGAAAAUGAGUUAAAUGAGAUCCAUUUUAUAAAAUUGUUGUAAUGAUUAUAUAAGUAAACACAUAGUAAUAUUAUUUGAUUUUAUUAUUAUUAUUAUGACUUGUCACUCAAAGCAUUUAGCUUUGGUGUCUCUAAUAUUCAGUACUCACAUUUAUGUUCAAAUUUGGAUGCUAGGUAGAAAUGAAGACUUUGUAUCUGCCACCAGAGAAGGCUAUUUAUUAUUUGUCAUUGCCUGUCACGAACUCACAAAGAUAGUAUUUGCCUAUCCAAAGGUAUCUAAUUCCUCAGUUUCUUAUGUGACUAUAAAGGGGCCUACUUUGAUCUUACCAUGAACUCAAAUCCUUUCGAAAUUUCAAUUUGUC